UACGUAGGGUGCGAGCGUUUGUCCGGAAUUAUUGGGCGUAAAGGGCUCGUAGGCGGUUUGUCACGUCGGAUGUGAAAGCCCGAGGCUUAACCUCGGGUCUGCAUUCGAUACGGGCUAGCUAGAGUGUGGUAGGGGAGAUCGGAAUUCCUGGUGUAGCGGUGAAAUGCGCAGAUAUCAGGAGGAACACCGGUGGCGAAGGCGGAUCUCUGGGCCAUUACUGACGCUGAGGAGCGAAAGCGUGGGGGAGCGAACAGG
rnacentral:rRNA from 1 species